rnacentral:antisense_RNA from 1 species
CCACCUCCACCCCUCAUCCCUCACAAUGCGCGGAAAACCACAGGCGGCUGUGCGCGCAGCGUCGGCUCAGCCACCGCAGCUCCUCCCCUGGGAUGAAAAAGCACUCUGACGUCUUGAAAGCUGGCAGCUCUCUGUUUAGAAAAUCUCUGCCCAGUGAAAAAAUGUACCGACAAGAUUACUAAGUAACACAGUCUUCUGGGAAUGCCUUAUCAAUGCCAGCUAUUUGAAGAGCACCCAAAGUCAAACUAGUGCUCCGCGCUGGCAGUCUGGAAAAGGCAGAUGUAUAAACCAAAAAGGAUGGAGUUCAGAGACCUUCCAUGUUGAUGAACAAGAACACAUUCACCUGCUGUAGGGGUAGGUGUACCCCAAAACUCCACUGAUACAGAAGCUUCUAUACUCAAGACCCUUCUAUACUCAAGACCCUGGAUCUUACCCUAUAUAUCUCUUCAUCUGGCUAUUUAUUUGCAUCUUUUAGUAUAUCCUUUGUAAUAAACUAGUAAUCUAGAAAGUAAACUUUUCCUAGCUCUGUAGGCCAUUCUAGUAAAUGAUUAAACCUGAGGAGGAGUUAUGGGAACCUUUGAUUUGUAGACAAGUUGGACAGAAGUGGUAUAUAUCCUAAUAUAACAUGGGAACCUGCCACUUAUGAUUGGCGUGUGAAAUUGGGGGAUGGGGAAGCAGUCUUGUGGGACUGAGCCCUUAGCCUGUGGGGUCUAAUGCUAUCUUCAGGUAAUAUCAGAACUGAGUUAAAUUAUAGGAUACCAGUCAGUGUCCAUUGGAGAAUUGAAUUAUUGUGAGGAAAAACCCACACAUUUGGUGGCUAAAAGUAUUGAUGUGAGUAGUAGCAUAUAGGA